AGUGAACGCUGGCGGUGGGCCUAACACAUGCAAGUCGAACGGCAGCACAGUAAGAGCUUGCUCUUACGGGUGGCGAGUGGCGGACGGGUGAGGAAUACAUCGGAAUCUACUUUUUCGUGGGGGAUAACGUAGGGAAACUUACGCUAAUACCGCAUACGACCUACGGGUGAAAGCAGGGGAUCUUCGGACCUUGCGCGAUUGAAUGAGCCGAUGUCGGAUUAGCUAGUUGGCGGGGUAAAGGCCCACCAAGGCGACGAUCCGUAGCUGGUCUGAGAGGAUGAUCAGCCACACUGGAACUGAGACACGGUCCAGACUCCUACGGGAGGCAGCAGUGGGGAAUAUUGGACAAUGGGCGCAAGCCUGAUCCAGCCAUACCGCGUGGGUGAAGAAGGCCUUCGGGUUGUAAAGCCCUUUUGUUGGGAAAGAAAAGCAGCAGGUUAAUACCCCGCUGUUCUGGCGGUACCCAAAGAAUAAGCACCGGCUAACUUCGUG
rnacentral:rRNA from 1 species